AGCUUAGUGGUUAAGGCUAUGGAUCGCCAAUCCGGAGACGGCGGGUUCGAUUCCCGU
rnacentral:tRNA from 1 species